CGGUUUUUAUCACUUUUUGAGGAGGUUUAUGCCCUUUGAAAUUUGAGAGGCAAUUUUCCGUAAAAAAUUUCACCAUUUUCCCCCGCAAUUUAUUUUCACCCAAUCCCUCCAAUUUUGUCCACAUUUACCUUUUACUGACUCUGCUCCUCCAGCCAAGCGCACCACUUCGUUCAUCUGUGCACUUCCACCGUGCGCAUUGCCUGGCUCAUCCACUUCCACCGCUCCGCUCAGCCGCACACUGCUCCGGUCAACCGCACGCUGCUCUGUUCAUCUGCACGCUGCUCCAUUCAUCCGCGCGUGCGGCAUUGCUCAUCCGUGCGUCGCUCCCACGUUAAGGCUAAUCUCCCACAUUUUCGCUCUACUCAACCCUCUCUCUCACCCUACCUUCUAGUGUUUCAAAAUUUUCAAUACUAGAGCCAUCUACAAGGGGAGAUUAGGAGGCAAAGCUCAGCUUGGAUAUGUUGAAACUUACCCGUCUGGUCGAUAUGGACGUUGACGUUGGAAGUGAACCUGAAUCGCCGUUAGAUGCUAGAGGAUCAUCUGGUGGUAGCAACUUGAAUAGUCAGUCUAAUAUUUAGACCUAGUUUCUUAUAUUGUAGACUACUUUAGGUUAUCAUGGUUUUUGAAUUUAUAUUGUUGUAAAAACUUAGUUUCUUUUGGUUAUAUAUUGUGGUGUUGUAUUUGCUGUCAACUUGGACUUCUAAAUUAGCUUUGAUUGUUGUUACUCUUUUGUAGUUAUGUAACUUUCAUUACUAUCAAUCCAUUGUCCAUUACUAUUAUGGAUGGAGCAGAAAUUUGAAUUUAAAUUGUCCACUCAAUAUGGUCUU